rnacentral:ncRNA from 1 species
AUCAUAAGUAGAGGCGCUUAUAAAUUGGUAACUGAUAAAUGUUAAGGAGAAUACCCUCUGAUGUUACAGUGAAUUGUUUAUAGGCCGAAAGGAUGCAAAGGUAUUUUGUAUUACUUGGGGAUAAGACACAAGGUUUUAUCACUGCCAUGUUAUAUGGAGAGCUAUUUAUGGA